rnacentral:ncRNA from 1 species
AUCUAGGGGUGCCUUAACAAAUCGGGCUGAGAUCAUACCCAUAAAACCUGAUCCGGGUAAUGCCGGCGUAGGAAAAAAGAAU